rnacentral:lncRNA from 1 species
GAAGCUCCUCAGAUGGAGAAGGAUCUUUUAUUUAGCACAAUCCAUCACGCAUACUGAGUUGCCAGGUGCAAAAUAUCAUCUGUGAACAGAACAUAAUCUGAAAAUGGAGACAGAUAGAUCGGACUCUGGACAUAGACAGCUUUUUCAAGCAUAAACAUACAAGGAUUCUUACAAACAGGGCAGAGCAGCAACUGAUCCAGUUACGCAUAUACAUAAACAUCCUUAUCCAGUACCCAAUAAACUUGUGACUGACUGAAAACCAAGUUUGUGCACACUAAGAUAGGCUUUGCCAGAAAAGUACUGUGAUCUAAAGACCUUCCGGAUAUCCCUUUUUCUUCACAUGGCGUCCCUGUUCAAAGCAACACAGAACAAGGAUCAGGAUGGACAUAAUUGAGCAUGACAAGGAUCUGGAGAACUGAGAAGUAGUUCUACAAAUGGAGGUCCAACUCUAUGCAGUACCCAAAAGUCAAAACGAUAAAACUGUUCAUAUAAUAAAUGCCCUGACCCUUGAUAUCCCUCCCAAACUACAAGCGGGUUAUAGAGGGGAAAACCACGCCCAGGUACCAUACUUUUUAGAUUGGAUUUAUUAUACACUAUUUGUCAUAUAAAAGGAAAAUCUUCAUUGACACAUAUAUGAAACGGAAAGCAUACAUAACCAUGAGCAUACGAUUCAUAAUUGAAAUCCAUGUGAGAGACAGCAUGCUUCAGCUUACAGACAUGACACAUCGAUUCCGUUAUACAACAAAACUCCGAACAUACAAAGGAUUGAUACUCUGAGGUAUAUUAGCUUGACGACCACAGUUCAUAGGCUAACCCCUGUCCCUCUAGGUUCUCUUAGCUAUCCUUGAUUGCCCGUUGUGAUAUCACCGACCAUGCGCUCAUGCACAGGGGACACCUCUAUUAUGAAUGUUUCUCCUCUAUGAUAACUCAAAUAAAAACUUCAAUUGAAGCUGUUUCGCGAAAAACGAACGUACCUACACAAAACAAGCAUCAUCCAAGCAGCAGAAGAACAAUUAUCUGUACUAUCAUACCUCCACGGAGUACAUAGCAGACACAUCCGACAUGUAACUCAAAGACAUGUUUUUUUUUUGGAAAUGUAAGAACUAAACAGUUUAGGAAUUAAUCAAAUUCAUGCACUGGAAUCUUAAAAGAAUGUAUCACACAUCACCUUUUAAAUUGGUAAGAAAGCAAAAAAGAUAUGCACGUAGAUUUACUUCACCUGCUCAACCAACAUUGUACAGUAGAAGAUCUCAUGUGCUUACAGUUUCAGGUUGACCCAUUUCCACCCAACUCCCCUGCCUGCCAGAAAAAAGAAGGCCAAUUCAAGGAGAAGUUGAAUCAACUAGAAGACAUGUGUGCAAAACGUUUUUAUAUAUGAUGUAACUUUAUAGGAAGGGAUAGUAGCAUUUGUGAAUGACAGUAAAAAAUAAAGCCGCCAGGACUGAUCAUAAUCUUUUGCCAAGACAUGUUAAAACUGUUUGACUGUUCACAGAAAUUGUGUUCAUCCAAAAUUAUUGUCGAGAGAGCUUGUACCAUGUACGCUCAAUGGGCCAAACAAAAUAUUCACAUAUUUAGAAACCUCUGACAAUGAGUAUUUACUUGGUACAUCAGAAAUUAAUGAAUUCGUACAAUUUUUGGAUCAGAAAGUAAAUACAUGCUGUUAUGAAUCGAUUGAUUGAUAUCAAGAUAUUUUUAUCUUGCAAGGAUAAGUAUUAAAUGAAAAACAUAACAAACUUUAAACUUCCACAAGUGAUUCGAAUAAAUCAUGUUAGGUACACACAAGGUACAGAGUUAGCUUAAUAUGAAGGUAUUACCCGCAGUAUAGAAAUUUCUGUGCAAAACAAACUAGCCUCAACAAGAGCAAUACAUAGAUCAUGUAAAGGCCAAAGGGAAAAC